rnacentral:rRNA from 1 species
UGCAAGUCGAACGAGAAUCUACUGAAAGAGUUUUCGGACGAUGGAAGUAGAGGAAAGUGGCGGACGGGUGAGUAACGCGUGAGGAACCUGCCUUGAAGAGGGGGACAACAGUUGGAAACGACUGCUAAUACCGCAUGACGCAUAGAGGUCGCAUGAUCUUUAUGCCAAAGAUUUAUCGCUUCAAGAUGGCCUCGCGUCUGAUUAGCUAGUUGGCGGGGUAACGGCUCACCAAGGCGACGAUCAGUAGCCGGACUGAGAGGUUGAACGGCCACAUUGGGACUGAGAUACGGCCCAGACUCCUACGGGAGGCAGCAGUGGGGAAUAUUGGGCAAUGGGCGCAAGCCUGACCCAGCAACGCCGCGUGAAGGAAGAAGGCUUUCGGGUUGUAAACUUCUUUUAAGAGGGAAGAGCAGAAGACGGUACCUCUAGAAUAAGCCACGGCUAACUACGUGCCAGCAGCCGCGGUAAUACGUAGGUGGCAAGCGUUGUCCGGAUUUACUGGGUGUAAAGGGCGUGCAGCCGGGUCUGCAAGUCAGAUGUGAAAUCCAUGGGCUCAACCCAUGAACUGCAUUUGAAACUGUAGAUCUUGAGUGUCGGAGGGGCAAUCGGAAUUCCUAGUGUAGCGGUGAAAUGCGUAGAUAUUAGGAGGAACACCAGUGGCGAAGGCGGAUUGCUGGACGAUAACUGACGGUGAGGCGCGAAAGUGUGGGGAGCAAACAGGAUUAGAUACCCUGGUAGUCCACACUGUAAACGAUGAAUACUAGGUGUGCGGGG